GGGCGGGCUGGGGGGGUCUUUUAGGGGACGAUUAGCAGAAAUUUAAAUAGGGGGGGACAGGUGCGACUUUAAUGGUUGCAUUGAUUAUUUAAAACUAUUUAUUUGACUUGGAGUGCGCAUUUUUAUUUAUUUGUUUGUGUUGAAUGUUCUGAUUAAUUUCUAUUAUUCUUUUUUCUUUCUUUUUUUGGGGGGGUGAGCUUGCUGGAUUUCUAUAAGAGCAUCUACAGGGAACGCGUCUUUAAUCAACCUAUAAACAGACAAGUGAUCGCUAGAGACGGUGGGAUCGCGCUCCUCCGCAGCUGCCCGCAACAUUACUCGGCGACUUCGUACCUGGAAGAAGACCCCUGGGCAAUUACGACAUAUGCUCGGAUUAUGCGUAAUGGUCUAAUUACGCAGACCGAAUUAGGCAUUCAUUAUACGACGCAUCAUCUGCAACAGACAUCUCAAUCAAACACAGAGAACCAGUAUUUCCCUCUGCCCUAAGAACUCCACCCACUUAAACAGACCAGUAAUUUUUUUUAUUUAUUCAUCUAUUUAUUUAAGGACAGCCUUAAAUGCGUGUGUGUGUGUGUUUGGGGGGCGUCGCCUUUUCACCAGCUGGUAAUUUUAUGUCUUGAAUUUUAGUUUUUUUGGUGUUGGCCUAAUGAACAAACAUUUUGUGUUAUUAAAAGCAAACCAGAUCAUGUCAGACAAUACAAAUAAAGCAAUCUAAAAGCAGGUUUAUGUAUUGGGAGAAUUUGUCCACAGGCAAGUAGAUGGGUGUGUGUGUGUGUGUGUGUGUGUGUGUGUGUGUGUGUGUGUGUGUGUGUGUGAGUGUGUGUGUGUGUGUGUGUGUGUGUGAGAGAGAGAGCGAGAGAGGGCUGCACCAGUCCAUUGACUCCACAUGGUGAGACGCAGCAGGACUGAUGAGGGCUGUACCUGAGCUCAGUGUUUGCGCCGCCGACUGUAACCACAACAGAGGCCCUUGACCCCGCAGCAUAAUUCACACCGACGAGACAGCGUCGUUCACACUCUCGCUCCAUCAUUUAGCCCUCCCGUGACAGGUGACGACAAAUCAUCCCAUUAAACUCCACACUAGACUCGGUCAUUUGAGUGUGAAGAGGAAAGUUAUGAGGGAAAAAAAAGGGUGAACGCGGUAUGAAAAUAAGAAGAAUAAUCAGAAUCUCAGAGCUUUCAUGUGUAUUCAC
rnacentral:lncRNA from 1 species